CCUACGGGAGGCAGCAGUAGGGAAUAUUGCUCAAUGGGGGAAACCCUGAAGCAGCAACGCCGCGUGGAGGAUGAGGGUUUUCGGAUUGUAAACUCCUUUUGUUAGAGAAGAUAAUGACGGUAUCUAACGAAUCAGCACCGGCUAACUCCGUGCCAGCAGCCGCGGUCAUACGGAGGGUGCAAGCGUUACUCGGAAUCACUGGGCGUAAAGAGCGCGUAGGCGGGAUAGCAAGUCAGAUGUGAAAUCCUAUGGCUUAACCAUAGAACUGCAUUUGAAACUGUUAUUCUAGAGUAUGGGAGAGGUAGGUGGAAUUCUUGGUGUAGGGGUAAAAUCCGUAGAGAUCAAGAGGAAUACUCAUUGCGAAGGCGACCUGCUAGAACGUAACUGACGCUGAUGCGCGAAAGCGUGGGGAGCAAACAGGAUUAGAUACCCUUGUAGUC
rnacentral:rRNA from 1 species